CCCUCUCCACCAUCUCUCACUCACCAAACAUUCCCUCCACCAUUUCAAAACCCCCAAAUACUUAGACCAAAAUCACCAAAUGUACAAGACCGAACGGGAGCUAUAGGAGACUUAGCAAUGGGUCAUCAUCACAAAUCCUUGUGAUAUCCUUCCUUAUUCCCAAACCCCCAGUUUCCCAAAAUCUCCUUUGUCACCAUCAUAAAGAGAAAAUUUCAAGUGUCGAUAUCAACAAUAAACACUAGAAUCCUUUGAUACCUCUGCGACUCCACCCUUUUGGUGGAAGAAGUUAUGGCUAUUCAUAGAUAAGCACUGCAUUCCUCGAUCUCGAAAACCUAGAAGGGGAUUUUCAGGCUGGAGCCAUUAUAAGGUACUCAUUGUUAUGGUUAUUGACGUGGGUGAUAGUUAUAGAGUUCUUGAUCUAGAUAUUAUGGGCGAGGGUGGGGGUGGCCAUGGGGCAUCAUCUUGCCUAAAUCCAUAGGAAAGAGUAUCGCAUGGGUUGGACUGUUGUUGUGGUUCAUGGCAGAGUUGGCCCUAAUUGGGGCUGAUCUCUAGCAGGUGAUUGUUGGUCGUGGGUUUUUGCCGCUUUAGGUUGGAGUUGUAGUUACUGCAUCUGAUUGAGAUGGUUAUGGAAAAUUGGUUCAGAGAGAGUUGGAAGCUCAAAGGCAUCUUAUAGAUUCUGGUUCUAGGUCAUUGGGAUCUUUCCUGCCAGGUAUGCCAUCACAUUCUUGCAAAGGAAAUUGGCUUACAAGAAGAAGAGAAAUCAUUACAAUGAAGUGAUGCUGAAAGUCAUGAAGAUGACAUCAUUUAAAUCAUUAGGAGGUUGAACUAGGCUUUUGUUGAUGAUGGUUUCUUUUUGUAGUCAUUGCAUCAAUAUUUGUUCUUAAAUUGGAUUUAAAAAUUCUCAUUGAAAUAUUUUGAUCUAAUGAACAAAUUUAUAAUUUGUAUACAAGUAAUUAUACUAAUUAUUCAAACUAAGUCAUUGUAUAUUAA